GAAUGUCACAUCUUUACUAUAUAAUAAGAGUUCUAUACAAAAUAAAUAAGUAAAUACAUUAUAAGGAGACAACGGUCCAGCAACCCAAAGUUGACUGGGAGACGACGACCUAGACCUCUCACGAACUCGUCGCAGCAUCCUCCAAGCGCCUCAUCCUGCGGUACCUGUUCUUGACCUGUGGGGGGGUGUGAGAUAGCAAGAGUGAGCUCACAUACGUUCAUCGCUCAACAAGUUGUGGGGAAUAAUGUGCAUGAACUCACCAAAGGUGGGAGCUCAUGAAGUGUAAGGCUUACCAAAGAGGAUGGUUAGAGCUGAGCAUUGCUUUUAAAGUUGGUCAAAAUUUUAUUAGCAAUUACUAAGUAUAAGUAAAUAUCAACCCAAUUAAGUAGUAGAACAAAAGUAACAACAUCACCUGCAAUGCAAUGCAUAUGACAAAUUAAAUUUAAGUUCCAUAAUUUAAUCAUGUGAGUGUCCGAGCUGCUCAUGACCGUGAGCACGACAAGUAUACCAGUUUUACACUAUGCAGAGGUUGCACAUCUUUACCCACAAGUCAUGUUACUCAUCUACCAAGAGACGGCCAAUCCCAUACACCUCUACCGAGGAGGCGAGGCAGGAUAACACUACGAGGCCUUUACAAAGUUCCACUAGCUUCAGAAAACCCGCUACAGUUUAUAGGAAGCUCCAAUGCAGGAAUCCCUCGCAUGACCGCCAUCGCAGCAAAAUCAUCCCAAGGGGCUCCCUACACUGACCACUCCCCUACUGCCCUUGCCCCUUUCGGGUAAGGUAGUCAUCCACUAGCUUUCCUAAUUAAUCAGCCAAGGGCGUCCCAUUAAACCCUUGUGGUAGCACUGUUUUCCCGGGUGGUUCUCCAUGUUCCAAUUAACAUAAUGAUCUUAUCAUGAACAGUGAAUAACAACUGAUAAUAAAAGUAUGAUAAUAAAUAAUGUGUAUCUUCAUACCCAAAACCACAUAAAGCAAUAGCAGGUACUACCCAAGAAUUCAGUGGUAAACAAGGUAUAAAGAUAUUCAAACUAGGGUAACCUAUUGGGUCCCAUCAAAAUUAACCUAUGCAGAUCAUUAUGAUUAAUCAGAACAUGAGUGGGUAAAAAGAAGUGAUCAAGGGCACAACUUGCCUGGGACAUGAGAUUCCAGGUACCAUCUUGCUCUUCAGAUGACACGUGACCUCGCUCUAGCCGUAGCAAUACAAAUGAACAUUGUAUAGACAAAAUUAACAUUACACCAAACAUAAGCACAAACUGCAUAAUAAUAAUCUACAUGUCGUAACGAGAUCGUAGAAACAAGAACCACUAAAUUCGGGGCUGCGGCUAUUAAGUUAGGAAUUUCUGACGUUAUUUAAAACAUAGAAUAGAGUUAUUCAUGUGAAUAACUUUAAAUCAAGUUUUAUAGUUAGACAAAGGUACUAGGUAAUAAACAAUACUUAAACAAAAUUAAUGCCACUGGAAUGGAUCAAUUUGGAGUUAAAAUGAAUUUGAUAUGAAUUAUACAAGUUUCUGAUUUUAUUUCUAAACUAAAAACCAUUUUUCUGAAUUGUUUUAUCCCUUUUAUUCAAUGAUUGGACUGGGGACACUAUUCUGUGAAAGACCAGGGGCUAUUUCGUAUAUUUCUCCAAGACUCAUACCCACCCCGCGCGUGGAUGGCGGGUUGAAUAAGAAAAACCACAGGGGCUCUUUAGAAAUUAUCCACAGCCGAAGGGGUAUCGGCCAACGAGCACCGCUCGAUUACGAUCCAGUGGUCCAGAUUAGUUUGAUCCGCAUUCGAGGACCCGCGGAUGAUCCAGACCGUAGGCACACAGAUCUACGGCUAGGAUAUAUUAACAUGAAGGGGUAUCUCGUCUCUAAUCUGAGCCCUCAAUUCGGUGAUUGACCGCUCGCAUUCAGUUACCAUCAGAUGUAAUCCUAUCGAUCUGUUCGCCGAUCAACGACUCACACACGUCGUCUUCCCCAUGACCACACACGGGAUGAUGCAUGAGCGUCCCACGGCGUGACCUCGUCGGCGAUCACCCACAUCUACACCGAUUGCCCCAACCACAAAAUAGAGCGGUCCUACAUGAAGCGAAAAACAAGGCAAAAUAAGGGAGAAGUAGCUCACUGCAGGUGGAGGCAGAAAUAGAGCUACCCACGAGGCGAGGUGGACCGACAGCCGUACCCCAACAUCAGCGACGAGGAAUUGUGCAGCGUGUGGCCACAACCCUGGCCUGGCUAGACGUCGAUAACGAGUGGUGUGCGUCGAAGAUGGCACAACGAGUAGUAAGGAAGGAGCUUUGGCGGGGAAAAAAGGCCGCUUCGGAAAUCUGGAGAGGAGAGAGAACGCGCCGGGUCUUCACGGCGACGGUGCCCACGGUUCCUA
rnacentral:lncRNA from 1 species